rnacentral:rRNA from 1 species
CCUACGUGUGGCAGCAGUGGGGAAUAUUGCACAAUGGGGGAAACCCUGAUGCAGCGACGCCGCGUGAGUGAAGAAGUAUUUCGGUAUGUAAAGCUCUAACAGCAGGGAAGAAAAUGACGGUACCUGAUGAAAAAGCCCCGGCUAAAUACGUGCCAGCAGCCGCGGGAAUACGUAGGGGGAAAGGUUUAUCCGGAUGUACUGGGUGUAAAGGGAGCGUAGACGGGUGCACAAGUCUGGAGUGAAAUGCCGGGGCUUAACCCCGGAACUGCGUUUGAAACUGUGCAGCUAGAGUGCAUGAGAGGUAAGUGGAAUUCCUGGUGUAGCGGUGAAAUGCGUAGAUAUCAGGCGGAACACCAGUGGCGAAGGCGGCUUACUGGACUGUAACUGACGUUGAGGCUCGAAAGCGUGGGGAGCAAACAGGAUUAGAUACCCGUGUAGUC